rnacentral:rRNA from 1 species
AUGCUGGAGGUAUCAGAAGUGCGAAUGCUGACAUAAGUAACGAUAAAGCGGGUGAAAAGCCCGCUCGCCGGAAGACCAAGGGUUCCUGUCCAACGUUAAUCGGGGCAGGGGGAGUCGACCCCUAAGGCGAGGCCGAAAGGCGUAGUCGAUGGGAAACAGGUUAAUAUUCCUGUACUUGGUGUUACUGCGAAGGGGGGACGGAGAAGGCUAUGUUGGCCGGG